rnacentral:lncRNA from 1 species
UAGUCCCAAAUUCGGAACCGAAAAUAGCAGAAACAGCCUCAAACCAGCAUUACAGAACUGCCGGGAUUUUGGAAAGAUUAUUUCUGGCCAGCUUAUUUGAAAAACCAUAACAAACUGCAUGUAUAUUGAAACAGACCAAAUAAUAUGCCAAAUUAAAGCUAACAGCAGGAUCUACAAGUUCACUGAAGACAUAUUACCCAAAUUAUUACUCCAACAUAGCAUAAACAGCCCCGUAAGACGACGAAGGCUCAAAACUGCCCUGUUUACAGAUUUACGGUCACUUGAUUCGGACCUCCAAUCAGCUAUAAAACAUAAUCUAACACUACACAAUUUAACACUUACCAAUAGUUUUCGAGGUCCUCUACGAGUUUUGUCAAGGAAACUAUUCCCAAAUUCUCACUCCCGUCCCUUCGAUUUUGGCUCCGAAACCAGGUGCGGCAGCAUAUCUUUAUUUCUCUGAAUUUUGCCGACAUAACUAUCGGGUUUAAUUCGGUUAUAUAUAAUAGUCUAAAUUUGGGGAAAAUAUGAUAUUCCUAUAUUUUUCGAUCUGCUCUACAACUUUUGAGAAGAAACAAAUCCGAAAUUCAAAGCCUAAGUACCUCAAAUCCACUCCUCAAGUUCAGGGGCAGGCUGCACUUCUUGCCGUCUUCCGACCACCGUCAGUGACCUCCGCCGGCGAAAUACACCACCAUGGGGAAGCUGAAUUCCUG